CCUGCCUAACUUUUAUUUUGACGUAUCACUUGCAGAUUGGCUGGGGCAAGCGAUAGUACAAAACUUAUAAUUAAAAUCAGAUACAUCCGCGUAUAUGCCAUGUAGACUCGACGAUCUGGAAAACGGAUUCUCGGUUUCAUUGGAGAUUGAGAAAUACGCUUCAUUUUGAACAAAGCUUGAGGGAUCGUGCAAUUAUGUCAUGCAGUUCACGCCGGCGUGCACGUUUAUAUGCAGUUUGGAUUUGGAUCGCAAGCACAAAUACACCCACUUUAGGUUGACGCCUGUUACUACAAUUGAACUGCUCUCAAACCGACUUUGAAAAAAAUCUCUUGACAGCUUCAAAAUUUGCAUAUCAAUGAAAUUCUGCGUACUCUUAAUUUUAAUUAAAUCACCGAAAUAGCGUAAAUAUGUAAAUAGGCCACGAGAAAAUUAUAUCAGACCGGUUUAAAAUAAAUUAAAAAAGGUUACAGUUU